UGUCGUCAGCUCGUGUUGUGAAAUGUUGGGUUAAGUCCCGCAACGAGCGCAACCCUUAUCCUUUGUUGCCAGCGGUCCGGCCGGGAACUCAAAGGAGACUGCCAGUGAUAAACUGGAGGAAGGUGGGGAUGACGUCAAGUCAUCAUGGCCCUUACGACCAGGGCUACACACGUGCUACAAUGGCGCAUACAAAGAGAAGCGACCUCGCGAGAGCAAGCGGACCUCAUAAAGUGCGUCGUAGUCCGGAUUGGAGUCUGCAACUC
rnacentral:rRNA from 1 species